rnacentral:lncRNA from 1 species
UCGGUUGCAGGUGCCGAUAAUGCCAAAAAAUGCAGCAGCAGUGCUGAGAAAAGGUUCUGGUGGGAUGAGCCAACAUUGUCUGAGCUCAAUGUGCACCAAAGCCACCAGCUCAUGUGGGUUAGAGCCAAUCACCUCAUCUAUGACUAUUGCACUGACACGUCUAGGUUCCCAGCUAUUCCCACCGAGUGCGUGCACCACCGCCACUAGCCAUGAAUGAUUGUGAAUGACUGAAGGAAAAAGGAUUUGCGUUUCUUAUGUAAAAAAGUUGAAAAAAAAAGGUCAAAAAAAAGGGAGGGGUGGAAAAAGAUCGAUCAUAACAUGUACUCCAUGUUGUUUUGUUCAUUCUGGUUGUAGAUUGUAUGAUAUUAUUAAUAUGAUCUUGGAUUUCUAUUCAUCACAAGCUAGAUAGACUAAAUAAAUGGUGUGAAGUAAUUUAAAAAACCAACAUAACAUUUCAACUGAAUGGGGACAUUCCUAAAAUUGUGACCUUGGGGGACCAUUGGAAUGGUUGAGAUAAAAGGAAAUUGAGAUAACGUCAUAGGAAAUUGAAAUUCUGGUGUGAUGUGGACCCUAAGCUUCAGUGAUAAAGUGAAAUGCUUCAUCUCUUCCAGUAUGAAGUUUCUGUGCCCCAUUGUUCAAGAGUGGGGGUAUUGGCCUUUCACUGAAAUGGUUCAAAAAGUUAAAAGUCACAGAGAGAUGGAAGAGCCACUGCCAGUUCACCUACCCUUGCUGAAAAAUUGCGUAAUGUUAUCCAAAGGCCACCGUAUUUGGCGAUAUGUGAAACUGAUUCAGUGUUAAGGUGAGCACAGUACUGCAAAAUAGAGGUUGGACAAUAAUUGAGUGUAUGCAGUAGGUUCAAAGAUUGUAACUUGUGUUUUGGAGUCAUUUCCUUAGAGUCUGCGGUGCUGGUUGAUUCUAAGAGCUUAUCCAUAAUGUGUGGUGCGUAUGUUUGAUUAAAUAAUAAUUAACUUAUGUAAUGCAGCAAGUAAAUGAUUUGAUGAACACAAUAAUUAAGGGGUAUGCCAAAAUUCAAAUCUUCUUUUGGAAUUAUCCACCGCGGCUUUUAGCCUUGUCUAAGAAAAGUCAGUGAAAUUUCACAUCUGCUGCAUUUACUUAUGAAUCAGACCAAGCAACAGUGAAGCAAUUGACACAAAACAAUAUUGACCAUUAGCAUGCUUAAUAAGCACAUAUCAUUUAAUAAAGUUAAUAUUUAAUUUACUAGAAAGUCAUAGUUUAAUUGUGCAUUUACAAACUCUAUUAAAUCAUAUGAUUUAAUAACAUGUAUGCAAAAAAAAAAAUUAUAAGGGCACCCCCAAAAUAAUCUUUCAAUGCAGGAUUUUAGAUUUGUUAAAGUUAUCAAAAAUUAGAAAAUUAUUAAGUCAUAUGAUUUAAUAGUGUAGUGAUACCACGUAGGCUUUAACCCAAUGGUAAAUCACUACUCUCAUAGUUAAGAAGGACUAUGAAGAUAGUAAUUCGAAUCUCUAUAUGCUCAACUUCCCUCAAUUAUACAAAAAAUUAUGUGGAGUUAGUUUGUAAGUCUUUCUCUCUUGUGAAAUGUGAGUGGAGUAGAGACAUUUUUCGUCGGUGAGGGUCAUAUGUCUGGGCAUGUACUUCAUAUAUUUAAUGUAAUAAUGUAAGUUUUAAGUUAUAUAUCUAAUUAUAAAUAUCAGUGUAAUGUUUACUCUAACAGCAGUUGUAAAUAUCUAUGUAAUCGAAUAAUUUUAUGUGUAAUCAGUAUUAAAAAAUAAUAAAUUUGAGUUGUUAAGACUUGUUUUUAAAAAAAAUGGUGUUAUUAAAUAUUAAAAAAUAAUAAAUUUGAGUUGUUAAGACUUUUUUUUAAAAAAAAAUAGUGUAGUGACAUCAUACUAUUAAACCCAGUUGUAAAUAUUUGUGUAAUAGAGUAAUCUGAUGUAUAAUCAAUAUUAAAAAUAAAUAAAUUUGAGUGGUUAAGACUUGUUUUUUUAAAAAAAAAUAGUAUAGUGACAUUACACUAUUAAACCAUAUAGCUUAGUAGUUUUUUCAAAUUUCAAUAAAGUCUAAAAUUUUGAACUAAACUAAUACUAUAUAUAUAUGAAAUUCUUAAGUGCGGACGCACUCAUUUCUUUUUCAUCAGUAUAUGCUAUUAAGUUAUAUGAUUCCGUAACUAAUUAAUCACUAUUCUAUAAAACUAAAUAACUUAAUAAUGUAUCCACGUAAAAAAAUAGUGCAAAGAAGACUCGUGCGUGCGUUGAUAAUGAAGUUUAGGUGGGAAAAAGAGAGGGUAUGGAAAACUGGACAUGAGGGGAUGGUUAUCUACUCAGAAAUGAUGCAGCAGGACCCUCAAAGAAUUCACCCAAAUGCUUUAACGAGACAUGGUAUGGCCAGAAAGUUUGAUAGUAGUCAAUUUUGAGAAUUAAAUGAUGCACUUAAGGGCCCUCUUACGUACAAGAACAAAAGCCACAGAAAUAUCAAGUGGAUUUGUGCCAUAAACAGCCACAGCUACAUGGUUUUUAAUUAGACAAGUAAAUUCUAUCCACCCAAUGGAACAAUAUUGGUUUAAUCAUCGCACAGGCUCAAUUAAUUCUGAUAAAGUGAAAAAGAGGAUGCAUAUGUAUCACAUGGUGUCAAUUUUGAUUUGGAAUGGAGCAUUAUUUGAUGAUUUGAGUAUCACAUGCUGAAAGAAAAUCUUCUAUUCUGUCGGUAACAGAAGUUUCUCAAUCUUGUAACUCUGGAAUUAGCAUUGAAAAUCAACGAUAAUAGUUUAUUAUAAGCCUAAUAAUUGAGUUAAUAUUAAUAACUAAACUAGAGAUAUAUUUUGGUUUUGGCUUUCAAUAAUCCUUCAAAUUGUACAAAUUCUGAUGGAUUGGAUGGUAUAUUACUUGGGGUCUUGCUAAGUUAUAAUUAAUUUAACUUAAAGUUCACUUAAAACAAUACAAAAAUCAAGUGAGUCUUAUUACCAUGUUAUUUUAUUCAUGUUUAGGUGGAUUGUAAGUUAAAUUAAUUGUAAAUUAAUAAAAUCCUAUUAUUUGUAUCAUUACGAGAAUUAGCUUCCCAUUAUUUUUACGAAUAGUCACGAGAGGCAUAUAUAAAGCGUGUCACUUACAUAACGUAUAUGGUGUGUUUACUCGUUACAUUGAGGAAAAAUGGAAAUGACAAUCAACAAUCAUUAAUAGUAUUUACUUACUAAAAAUAAGGAACGUGAGUGAAAUUGGAAUGGAUUCUACAAAUUUGAGAAUGAGAAUGGGAGAAUGAAAAUGAAGAGUAAAUUGACAUUUGUACCUAAAGUAAAAAUUAAAAAUUUCUUUUCAACUUAUUUAAUAAUAAUAAUAAGUAACGUAAUCACAAGAUCGGAGAGCACCCCUUCUUCCGAAAUUGCGGGAUCAUUUUGCCAAGUUCCUUUGACAUGGUUCUCUCCAAUGCUCUAAUAUGCUCCACUUGUUGGCUUAUAGCUCAUUAAUCCAUGCAAGUAGGUGGAGGUGAUACACCUAGAUCGAGGAAUAUAGUCCACCGCAUGGUAGGGCCAGCCUAUAAAAGAAAAUCUCGUUCAACACUCUAUGUUUUUAAAGUCCUGUUUUGUCGAUGUUGUUGUUUAUUUAUUAUUAGUAAUAAUUGUAACAGUUUAUUUUGACUCCAAAAAAAAAAAUAUUAACAGCAGUAUAAUUUAUUUCGAUUUUAAUGUCUAUAGCAAGAAUAACAAUUUAUUAUGUCUCUCAUUCUUCAUUUCUCAUUAUGAUUUUAGCCCAUUUUAAUCAAUAAUUGGUAAAUGCACAACUCACAUAUAUGAUGGGAAUAAAUUUCAAAUAUAAUACAAAUAAAAUUAAAGUAAGUUAUAAUUAAUAUAAAUAAUUUUCCAUAAAGAAUUAGAAGUGUACAAUAUUUUACUCUUUUUGGUAGAAUGAAUUUUUUUUUUAAUACAUAGAAUGGAUUUUAUUUACUUAUGAGUUUUUAGAUUCAUCUCAAAAUAGAAAUUAGUUUCUAAUAGUUAUAAUUUGGGCUUCUUUAUCAUUUGCAGCUCUAUAGCCCAUAGUGCAGCACUUGAGAGAAGGCUGGAGUCCACUGUUUAUUAUCAUUAUUAUAUUUUUAGUGGAAAAAUUAUCCACGUUAAUAAUGAUUUUAACCAAUAGAAUAAAUAUGAUGUAAUGCUUAAGAUUUUGUGUGGAAAAUCGUAUUUAAAAAGAGUGGCUGCCGAACUUAAAUCACAUUAUUACUCUGCAGAUAAUACAGAGGAGUGCUAGCGACAGCCGCCCUUAUCAGUCACUAGCAUCUUCUUUUGCCAGGUGCCUCACUAUUUUGAUAUUUGUGUAAUUUUAAUUUAAUAUUAAAAUAUUGAUAACUUUUAAUUUUAUUUUAGUAACAUUUCUUUAUACUGAACGAAUUUACCGGAAUAUCCUCACCCUCUCCCUCCCCCAAGUGUUUUUCUUCUUUUUCUCCUCUAUACCUACUGCAACUUCUUCUUCAUUUUUUUCAUCAAUUUCUUUUCUAACCUACGGAAAUGAGGAUAGUGAUGGAUGAUUUAGUAGAGGAUUUUGCAUUAGGCUCACCGGAAAUUCAAUCUUCAGUUGGGUGAAUCGUAAAAGUAAAAUUUAAAAAAUAUUCUAUUUGAAAAAAUAAAUAACAAAAUUAUCUUAAUCAUGUAGUUAUGACCGUGUACACCCAAAAAAAAAACAUAUCAGAAUUUUUUAUUUUUUUAAGCUUUCAAAAAAUAAAAAAGAAAGAAAAGAAAUUGAUGAAAAAAAUGAAGAAGAAGUUGCAGCGGGCAGAGGAGAAAAAGAAGAAAAACAGUUGGAGGGAGGGAGAGGAUGAGGAUAUUCUGGUAAAUUCAUUCAGUAUAAAGAUAUGAUAUUAAAAUAAGGCUACCUCUAUGUUACGUUGAGAGAGACAAUAUCAAUAAAAACCCCUAAUUUUUAUGGAAACUACACUAAUUGAAUUAAAAGAAAUACUUUUAAAUCUUAAAGAAGAAAUAAAAGAAAUUAAACAAGAAAUAGGAAAAAUAAAAAUAGAAUUAUCUGUAAUCCAAUUAAGUCAGAAGAAAAAUAAAAAAGUAGAAAAAUUUGAAAUACUAAAAUCUGGAAUAAUUGGAACAAGCUUUAAAGAACCUAUACAAAAACCUCAACCAGGCAGCUAUGAUGACUGGUUCGUAAAGACUCAAUACCCAAAAAUACUAGAAGAAACAGAAAAAUUGAAAGCAGAACUAAAAACUAAAGAAAAAGGUAAAGAAAAACUAGAAAUAAAAGAAACAUCACUUAGUGAUACAGAUUAAUGGAUGAAACAUUAGAAGAAUUAACUGAAAAAUUCAGUGAUAUAAAUCUAAGUGAUUUGAAAGAAUUUGAAAGAGAAUAUUGUAUAAAAAUGAAUGUUGCUGGAGGACCAGAAAUGAAACCUAAUGUGGCAGAACCAAGCCAUAGGUAUGAAACAAAUAAAAAGGAAAAUAGACCAUUUUUUGAAUAUUAUCCACCUACCAAAAAUCACCAAUGGAAAAAAGAAUACCAACCUAAUAAUGACCAUUUAUUACCAAUAAGCAAUGCAGGCACAUUUCUAGAUUUACACUGCAAAACAGAUCCCCGAAAGGCCUUAGUAGAAUGGGGAAUGCAAAUGAAAUUAUUUUUUCUGUUUAAUGGAUCAAGAGAAGAUUGGAAUGUUGAAACAGAAGAAGAAAAAAUAAAUAUAUUUGCUGAUAUUUUAAUAGCAAGCUUCUCAGGAAAUGUAUUUAAUUGGUGGAAAGGAUUAAGUGAGGAUACACAAGAAUUAAUAAAGGAUUCAACCAAGAUAGCAUUAGGAAGAAACAAAGGAUUAGGAAUUGAAAGAAUAAUUGAAUAUAUUGCUAGUGAAUUCUUAGGAGAAGAUUGGUUACAAAAUUCAGAAAAUGAGUCAAAACGUGAUAAGUUAGAAGCAAGAAUGAAAUUAAUAAAUUUAACAAUUUGUAAUAUGUGUUUUGUCAAAGAAUAUACUUGUGAAUUUUUGAAUUUUCUAAAUAUUAUUAUACCCAAUUUAUGAGUCAUGAAGACCAAAAUAUUUAUAAAAAUUUAUACUAUUCGAAACUUCAUUACCCUUGGAAUGGAUAUUUUACUAAUGAAUAUGAAAAAUAUACUAGUAAUAAUGAAAAUAGACUCCCAGACACACUAGGAUCUAGAAUAAGAUUUUUAAAUACAAGGUUAAGUGAAAUAUGUAUUCAAAGAAAUCUAAUAAAAAAGAGUAAAAAUAUUACAAAAAUAUGUUGUGAAAAAACAGAAAUGCCUACUCAGUGGGGAUGUUAUGCACCUCAUAAACGGCACAGAAAAUCUUACAAAAAAGAAAAAAGAUAUAAGAAAUAUAAUAAUUUUAAACGAAAAUAUAAAAAAGUAGGAAGAAAAUAUUAUAAAAGAAAAUAUAAAAACCAAAGAAAAAUAUUAGAUAAAACCAAAUGUAAAUGUUGGAAUUGUGGAGAAAUGGGACACAUCAGUACAGAUUGUACAAAAAAGAAAGUUAGGCUUUUAAAGGAAGAUUUUGAAAAUAUAGAAAGUGAUUUAGAAGAAAUAAGUGAUCUCUCAGAAUAUGAUGGAAAAGAAGUUUACAUGGUAGAAAAAUCAGAAGAUGAAUCCGAAUAAAGAAGAAAAAAUGGAAAAUGAAAGAAUAGAAGAAAUAGAAGAGAUAGAAAAAGAGGAAAAUAAAAGUGGAUAUAGUCUUGUAGCCACUUUUAAUAAAGAAAAAUAUAAUAAACUUUUAAAAUUAAAUAUGGAAAAACCAGAAUAUGGAAUACUGCAUAGAUUUAGAGAUCUAUUUAAAAGAAAAAGAAUUAUACUACAUGAAUAUUAUGAACAAGAAAAAGCUGUAACAAUUACACAAGCUGAAGGAAAUAUUAGAUUUAGUUUGCUUAAUAAAAGGUCAAUAGACUUAGCAUUAAGAAAAAUAAAAAGUGAAUCAAUCAAAGAAAAAAUUCAAUAUGUAUAUUUGGCAGAAAUCCAAAUCUUAAUAAAAUCUCUUUUCAAAGAAGGAAUAGAUAGCCCCAUAGUUCUAUCAUUACAUGACCAAAGAUUUACAGACCCUGGCAUAGGACAUUUAGGGACAGUAGAAGGGAAUUUAUGUUACACUAAAUUAUUAUUUACCUGCCACUCUAGAUACUGUGUACAUAUAAAAGAUAAAAAUAUAGAUGAAACAUUAAGUUUACAUUUUAAAUUACUAAAGAAAAACUAUAAGUUUUGCAGGAAGAACUCUAAUAAGAGGAAGUUCAUCUAGAAGAUUAAGCACUAAUAAACAAAUAGUUAGAUCCAUACCUACUAAUAGUGUAAUAAAAAUACUAGGUCAAUACUUUAAUGGAAUAGAUUAUACAACAAAAAUACUUAUAUUAAUAGAUACGGGUACCAGCCAUAAUUAUAUGAACCAUACUAAAAAUAAAGGACUUUUAGUAAAAGAAAAAGAAAUUCCUUAUGAAUAUACUGAUUUCAAUGGUAAUAAACAUAUUUGUAAACAAGAAGUCAAAGUCCCUGUAAUAAUAGAAGGACUUAAAAUAAUAGUACCUUGUUAUAUAGAUUCAUUUAUGACUACAGAUCCAGAAAAACAUAUAGUACUAGGAAAUAGUUUUUUAAGUGAUUUAGAAUAUUACAAAAUUGAACCAAAUAAAAUAACUUUCCUUAUACAAGGUCAAAGAAUAGUUUGUGACACAUGUUAAAACAAACUUAUGUAAAAUAUCCUAUGUCUGGCUAUAUACAAAUAAAUAUAACAGAAAAAGAUAUAGAUACUUGUGCUUUAAUUGACACAGGUAGUGAAAUAACUAUUAUGAAAUCUUUUUUAUCCAAUAAAUGGAAAUCAAAUGAAAAAUUAAAAAUUGUAGGAAUCACUGGCGAUAAACAACAGGUAAAUCAAUCUAUAUUAAACUUUGAAAUAUUAUUAGGCAGUAAAAUAAUUCGUAUUAACCAAAUCUUUCAAUAUAAUAAUCUAGAUUGUGAUAUACUUUUAGGCAAUGAUUUUCUACAACAAUUCCAAUAUUACCAACAAACUACAUACAUGAUCACCUUAAAAACCCCUUGUAAUCAUAUUUUACGAAUCCCUCGUGAAUUUCGACCCUACAGAGUUCAGCCAGCCCAGCGUGGUGAUAAGUACAUUUAUGAAAAAUAUUAUUUAAUACAAAAAGGUCAGAGUUACAAUAUACAACUAGAAACAAUAAGGUCACAACUUGAACAAGUUUAUAGAGAAAAUCCGUUAGCAUUAUGGAAACCAGAUCAUCCUAAAGCAAAAAUAAAAUUAAUUGAAAAUAGAAUCAUAAGAUUAAAACCCAUGAUGUAUACAGAAGAAGAUAGAGAAGAAUUCAAAAUCCAAAUAAAAGAGCUAUUAAAUUUAAAACUCAUUAGGAGUAGCAAUAGCCCACAUAACAGCCCAGCAUUUAUGGUCAGGAAAAGAGCAGAACAAGUUAGAGGAAAAGCAAGAAUGGUAAUAAAUUAUAAAGAACUAAAUAAAUAUACAAAAUUUGAUGGAUAUUUUCUCCCUAAUAAAGAGGUAUUAAUAAAUCUUGUAAAAAAUAAGACCUAUUAUUCAAAAUUCGACUGUAAAUCAGGAUUUUGGCAAAUAAAAAUGGAAGAAAAUAGUAUUCUUUAUACAGCUUUUAGCACCCCACAAGGUCAUUAUGAAUGGUUAGUAAUGUCCUUUGGACUAAAAAAUGCCCCUCAAAUUUUCCAAAGUAGAAUGGAUAAAAUAUUUAGAAAUUAUAACUAUAUUAUAGUAUAUGUUGAUGAUAUAUUAAUAGCAUCAGAAACAGUAGAAGAACAUAGGCACCAUUUAAAGGAAUUUGUUAAUAUAUGUAUUAAGGAAGGUAUAGUAUUAUCUAGUAAGAAACCAGUUAUAGAACAUAAGAAAAUAGAAUUUGUAGGAAUGAUACUCGACAAAUAAGGUAUUAGACUUCAGAGCCAUAUAGGAAGAAAAAUAAUCAAAUUUCUAGAUAAAUAAGAAAAUAAACAACAAAUACAAAAAUUUUUAGGUUGUUUAAAUUAUGCAGAAGGAUUUAUAAAAGAUCUAGCAAAAAAAAGAAAUAUACUCCAGAAAUUACUAAGAAAAAAUAAUACUAGAGGAUGGAGUGAAGAACAUACAGAAACUGUAAAAAAUUUAAAACAAGAAUGUAAAAACCUCCCAGCAUUAAGAUUACCUAAUGAAAAAGAUAAAUUACUAAUUCAAACAGAUGCAUCAGAUUUAUACUGGGGAGCAAUUCUGAAAACUGAUAUAAAUGAAAUUUGUCGAUACACAAAUGGAACAUUUAAUCAGGCACAAAUCAAUUAUCCAGUACAUGAAAAAGAACUCCUUGCAAUAUACAAAGGAAUUAAAAAAUUCUCAUUAUUUUUACUUCAAAAAUAAUUUAUUGUAGAAACAGAUAACUCUCAAGUAAGUUCUCUUAUUAAUAAAAUUUUACCGAAUGAACCUCAAUAUAGAAGAUUACAUAGAUGGCAAGUUUAUCUGUCUUAUUACAAUUUUAAGAUAGUACAUAUAAAAGGGACUAACAAUUUCCUUGCAGACUUUUUAAGCAGGAACAUAAAAUUUGGAGAAUGAAUCCCGAAGCAAAUAGAAUUAUCGGAAAAAUAAAAGCCAAGAUACAAAGACUCAAGGCUGAAGCAUCUGACAUAAUUGAUGCAAUACAAUACAUAAAAUAGGCUUCUGAGGCUCAUGAGAAAGGAGUACAUUUGUUAGAGUCAUACAUAGAGGACUUAACAAAGGCGCUCUCUAUAAACACGAGCCCAAUAGAAAUAAACCCAAAUAUAGGAAGCAGUAGUGGACCCUUCAGAGAAGAUAAACCAAUCUCUGACCCAGUUCUAAAUAAAACCAUAUCCAUAGAAGUUGAGUCACCAAAAUCAGACACUCUAAAAAAGUUUAUUCAAAUAAACAAUCCUUACAUAGAAGAAGAGGAGAAACCCCUAAAUCCAAAAGAAGAAGAGUAUAAACAAUUCUCUACAUGGGUAUAUUCCACUUGUUCUCAUAAUAAUACAAUUUUUAAAGCACUUGGAAAAAAUAUGUACCCUAGGAUGAUUGUUACAAAAGGAGUAGACCCACUCCUUGUUGGGAAAAUAGCAAAAUAUGGCUAUUUAGACUUAGUAUAUCCCGAUAUAGACCUUCGAGAAAUAGCCAGCCUUGAUGAUUUAUUGAUAAAAGAAGUCUCAAGGUUUGCCCAAAAAAGACCCAUAUACUUGAAAUUUUACACCAUAAGCCCAGAAUACUAUCAGAAUGUAGAAUACCAGGCUUUCUAUAUGAUUUCUGUAGGUCAUCUUACAAACAAUUUUAAAGUCGAAGUAGGAACAGAAUAUACAAAUGUUCCUCAUAUAAAUGAAUCUUCGAUCAAAACACGAAGAGCCAGAAGAAUAAAGGCCAUAUGGAGCAUAGCUAAAGAUUUGUAUAAAAGAAAUUUCAGAUCCAUUAUUAAAUUUCAGAAUUACAUCCUUAUAACUUCUGAGGAUGGUCAUACACCUUCAAAUUUGUUACUAGACUUCAUCAACGAAAUAAGUACUAUUUGUUUUCCCAGUAGUAGUAAAACCAUGGAGCAGGCUUACCAACUCAUGGACAUAAAGCAAUGACAGACAAGCUGUGGCCGACAACAUAAAACAAGAUAAGAUAAAGCUGUGAUGGAAGGCAUCUGAUAAAGCUACAACAAGACAAAAUAAGAUAAAGAUGCUUGGCAAGAUAAGGGACGUGAUAAAGCUACAAGAUAAGAUAAAGCUGUGAUGGAAGACAUUUGAUAAAGCUACAACAAGACAAAAUUAGAUAAAGAUGCUUGGCAAGAUAAGGGACGUGAUAAAGCUACAAGAUAAGAUAAAGCUGUGAUGGAAGACAUUUGAUAAAGCUACAACAAGACAAAAUUAGAUAAAGAUGCUUGGCAAGAUAAGGGACGUGAUAAAGCUACAAGAUAAGAUAAAGCUGUGAUGGAAGACAUUUGAUAAAGCUACAACAAGACAAAAUUAGAUAAAGAUGCUUGGCAAGAUAAGGGACGUGAUAAAGCUACAAGAUAAGAUAAAGCUGUGAUGGAAGACAUUUGAUAAAGCUACAACAAGACAAAAUUAGAUAAAGAUGCUUGGCAAGAUAAGGGACGUGAUAAAGCUACAACAAGAUGCUUGAUAGAUGUAAAGAAGUGAUGUAAAAGCCCAAUAAUACAAGGGCAAAAAUGUAACAAUAAUGUAAAAGCCCAAUAAUAGAAGGGCAAAAAUGUAAUCAUAAAUUCAAAGUAACUUCGAAUAUAAAUAAAAGCAAUAAGCUCUAAGAGCUUAUCAUUCACCAUAAUUCAGUGUCUUUCCUUAGCAUAUGAAUCCUCUGAAAAAUAAAAAACUAAACAACUCUACAGCUCUAAUUCCUAAAUCAAGGCAUCACUGAUCAAAAACAAAUAACCCUAUAGAGAGGAAAGAGAAACUUAAACUUAUUCAACAUUUCUAAGCCUAUCGAUCAAAAUCCAUACAGUAAGGCCGAUCGAGUCCACUGAUCCCGUUGAAGCAAGAAGGCCGUUGAGGGAAUAAGGACAACCAGGCUGCAGGUCACUGGAAAAGGAUUGGAAGGCAAGGAAAUAAGGAUAAGCUAGGUAAUAAUUCUCAAACCUUAUCUUUGGUGGAAGUUUGUUGAUAAUCAAUGAUGAGGAGAUUUAUGGAGGAAGAGCAUAAAAUGAAACAAAUUUUUGGUUGUUCUUUUCUGUAAAAUGAAUCAUAGAUUUUAUUUAGGCGAGUCUAAAGAAUGUAUGUUAGAUCCUAAUACUAGAAUAACAUAUAACAAUUUUAUGAUGAUAAUAGACUUUAAUUUAGGAUCAUAUAAACAAGAUUCAUAUUUGUUAAGUAAAAGAGAUCUUGUUAGAACCGUAGAUCUGUUAGCGGUAUUUUCAUUAGAACUCCCAUAGGAAAUAAAGCGGAAAAUAAUAAACUAUAUCGAAUCAAAAAAUCUAAAGCAUAACAUAAUUAUGAUGACAAUAGAACAAGGAAUUGAUAUAGCUCUGGCUUAUAUAGAAAAUGAAAAUAGAGAGGCUGGACCAUCAUAUGUAAAUUACAUAGAAAAUUCAGAUAAUGAAGAAAUUGAAUUAUAAGUUGAAAAAAGUAUAUAGGCUGGAAACCAAGGUGUGCGGGCUACUGGUCCAAAGGAGAAUUAAAUAUCUUGGCUGAAUUGCCAAGGAUCUCUUCAUCUUGUCAACGCCACGUACUUUUUAAUUACAAGUGAUAUGUUUAAUCAACUAUAUAUAUAUAUGUCCGUUAUUUUAAUCUUAGAAUAAGAAAAAUAGAAGUUGUUUAACCAUUCAGAAUAUUUGAUUAUUUUAUUUGUUUAAUUUGUUUAAUUAUUUGUAAUAUUUGUUUUUUUUUUUGGUACACACGUACAAGAUGGUAUCAGAGCCAUAACCAGAAUCAUAACUCUUACUAAUUAAAAUCUUGAUGAUAUUUUACUUCUUAUAAAACUAAUUAAUGGAUCCGAUACAAACAUUAGUUAACAACUUAUAUACUUUAAAAGUAUAUGAUAAAGAAGAAAUAAAAAAUCUCAUAAUGGCUUUAAAAAUUGAUAAGAAUAAUAUAAGAAACAUAGAACUCGAAUUAACAGAAGAACUUAGAGAAAGGCAUAUAGACACAAUAAGAGGAGAAAUAUUAAUAGAAAAGAAAAUGAAGUUUAUAGAUGAAAUUAUAAAAUUUCUAAUAUAUUGGUAUAAGAGGGAAGCAUUAUGAAUCAUAAUCAACAUGCAUUUAAUAUAAUACAUGAAUUAGCAGAUUGUAUAGAUCACAUGAUUUUAGGAUGGGAAAACAUAUUAAAUAUAUACAUAAAUCUAAUAAGUCAGAAAAUAGAAUUACUAGAACAAGAAAGAAUAGGAAUAAUAAAUUUAGGACCAGAAAUCUACUCUGAAAUUAUAGAUUUAUAUGAAUUUGAUAACCAUGUAAUGUUAUUUAAAGAAAUAAACAAAACCUUAGAAAGAAUGAGAAAUAGGUGUAGAAGGGAUGGAAGAAGUCAAAUACAUCCACAAUUAUAAAAGUUAAAAGUUAAAAGGACCCAAAAGAAAUUAACCAAAGAAGAAAAAGACAAAAAACGUAAGAUACAUUGGUCGUAACUUAGGUACUCCCUUAAAAUAAAAUUAAAAGUUAUCAAUAUUUUAAUAUUAAAUUAAAAUUACACAAAUAUCAAAAUAAUGAGACACGUGGUAAAAGAAGAAGCUAGCGACUGUCUCUAGCACUCCUCUAUAAUAUAUAGACGUUAAUUUUUAUAUUAAUCAUUUCUUCUGAUGAAAGCUAGGUUUAUGUUUCUGUGGCAACGUUUCAAGCCCAUUUAGAUCUUAAUGGGCCAACGUAGUCUAGACCUCAUAAUGAAUAAUGAAAUACAAGUUCUAGAACUAGAAGCAUAACAUUAUCCACGUGUGUGGUGAAUUUAAAAAUUUGGAGUAACAUGAUUGCACCUCAAAAAUCGUCUCUCCAUUUUUUUUUUUAAGACGUUAUUUAUGUGCGCGAAAAAUAUUCGUCGUGGGAGCCAUAAAGCAGGGUGUUAAAGAUUAUUAUAACCAUGCCAUAUGAAUGAAUUUGAAAUAUAAUACAAAUUAUCAAUAAGUUGUAAUUAUACAAUCUGAACAAAAAAUAUAUAUAUAUAUAUAUCAUUGAAUGGUAAAAUGCAAUAAGUUAUUGGAGGAAUCAAUAAAUUAUAUCAAAAUGUAUUGUAUUGACACAGUAAUAUGUUAGAUCCAUUUCCUCGAAUUGAAGCUAACACCUGCGAUCGAACUAGAGAUUGAGGAAGCAAUGGCUAUGAUACCAAAUGAGAAAUUAAAAGAUUCAAGGAGUUGAGCUUUUUGACCAAACUUUUAAGAUUACCGAAAAUUCGGUAAACUCAAUCAAACCCCAUUUUUUGAAACAAAAAAUUAUUCUUUGUAGUUUUUUUAAAGUUUAUUGUAAAAAAAAAAAUCUAAUGAAGAUAAUUUUUAUAAGUGAAAUAUAAUUUUUUUUCAAUUUUUACUCGUAUGUUUGUUUAAACGUCAACUAUAUGAAUAGUUAAUAGAUUUUAUUUUUAGAGAUUAUAAUUUAAAAACUUAAUAAUAAAUUAAUCAUGAAUGAUGUAUCGAGAAAUCUAAAAUAAUCUAUUAAUGCAUUUAGAACAAAAUUAUGAAUGAAUUGACAUAUGUGAACGAAUCUAUGGCUCUAAUUUCUAAUGCAAAUAUAAUAUUGCAGUAUAUUAGUAUAACUUAUUUUGUCUAUAUUUGAAUAGAGAAAAUUGUUAACAUAUAUGUUUCCAUAAUAUUGAUUUUGAUGAUAACAAACAAGAAGGGGGAGCAAUUUGUGGAAUCAUUCUUUAAAUACAUGAAAUGUUUGUCAUCAUCAAAAAGGGGGAGAUUGUUAACAUAUAUGUUUCUAUAAUGUUGAUUUUGAUGAUAACAAACAAGAUUAAGAAUGAUAAAUCUUUUAAGCUCAAAUUAUUUUUUAUACAUUUUAAAUAAAUCAUUAUUUUUACAUUAUAAAGGUUUUAUAUUUAAUGGAAAAAUGAUUUUAUGAAAUUGGUUGUUUUUCAAAGUUUAUGGUUUAAUUGAAAGACUGUGAUGGAAGACAUUUGAUAAAGCUACAACAAGACAAAAUUAGAUAAAGAUGCUUGGCAAGAUAAGGGACGUGAUAAAGCUACAAGAUAAGAUAAAGCUGUGAUGGAAGACAUUUGAUAAAGCUACAACAAGACAAAAUUAGAUAAAGAUGCUUGGCAAGAUAAGGGACGUGAUAAAGCUACAAGAUAAGAUAAAGCUGUGAUGGAAGACAUUUGAUAAAGCUACAACAAGACAAAAUUAGAUAAAGAUGCUUGGCAAGAUAAGGGACGUGAUAAAGCUACAAGAUAAGAUAAAGCUGUGAUGGAAGACAUUUGAUAAAGCUACAACAAGACAAAAUUAGAUAAAGAUGCUUGGCAAGAUAAGGGACGUGAUAAAGCUACAAGAUAAGAUAAAGCUGUGAUGGAAGACAUUUGAUAAAGCUACAACAAGACAAAAUUAGAUAAAGAUGCUUGGCAAGAUAAGGGACGUGAUAAAGCUACAAGAUAAGAUAAAGCUGUGAUGGAAGACAUUUGAUAAAGCUACAACAAGACAAAAUUAGAUAAAGAUGCUUGGCAAGAUAAGGGACGUGAUAAAGCUACAAGAUAAGAUAAAGCUGUGAUGGAAGACAUUUGAUAAAGCUACAACAAGACAAAAUUAGAUAAAGAUGCUUGGCAAGAUAAGGGACGUGAUAAAGCUACAAGAUAAGAUAAAGCUGUGAUGGAAGACAUUUGAUAAAGCUACAACAAGACAAAAUUAGAUAAAGAUGCUUGGCAAGAUAAGGGACGUGAUAAAGCUACAAGAUAAGAUAAAGCUGUGAUGGAAGACAUUUGAUAAAGCUACAACAAGACAAAAUUAGAUAAAGAUGCUUGGCAAGAUAAGGGACGUGAUAAAGCUACAAGAUAAGAUAAAGCUGUGAUGGAAGACAUUUGAUAAAGCUACAACAAGACAAAAUUAGAUAAAGAUGCUUGGCAAGAUAAGGGACGUGAUAAAGCUACAAGAUAAGAUAAAGCUGUGAUGGAAGACAUUUGAUAAAGCUACAACAAGACAAAAUUAGAUAAAGAUGCUUGGCAAGAUAAGGGACGUGAUAAAGCUACAAGAUAAGAUAAAGCUGUGAUGGAAGACAUUUGAUAAAGCUACAACAAGACAAAAUUAGAUAAAGAUGCUUGGCAAGAUAAGGGACGUGAUAAAGCUACAAGAUAAGAUAAAGCUGUGAUGGAAGACAUUUGAUAAAGCUACAACAAGACAAAAUUAGAUAAAGAUGCUUGGCAAGAUAAGGGACGUGAUAAAGCUACAAGAUAAGAUAAAGCUGUGAUGGAAGACAUUUGAUAAAGCUACAACAAGACAAAAUUAGAUAAAGAUGCUUGGCAAGAUAAGGGACGUGAUAAAGCUACAAGAUAAGAUAAAGCUGUGAUGGAAGACAUUUGAUAAAGCUACAACAAGACAAAAUUAGAUAAAGAUGCUUGGCAAGAUAAGGGACGUGAUAAAGCUACAAGAUAAGAUAAAGCUGUGAUGGAAGACAUUUGAUAAAGCUACAACAAGACAAAAUUAGAUAAAGAUGCUUGGCAAGAUAAGGGACGUGAUAAAGCUACAAGAUAAGAUAAAGCUGUGAUGGAAGACAUUUGAUAAAGCUACAACAAGACAAAAUUAGAUAAAGAUGCUUGGCAAGAUAAGGGACGUGAUAAAGCUACAAGAUAAGAUAAAGCUGUGAUGGAAGACAUUUGAUAAAGCUACAACAAGACAAAAUUAGAUAAAGAUGCUUGGCAAGAUAAGGGACGUGAUAAAGCUACAAGAUAAGAUAAAGCUGUGAUGGAAGACAUUUGAUAAAGCUACAACAAGACAAAAUUAGAUAAAGAUGCUUGGCAAGAUAAGGGACGUGAUAAAGCUACAAGAUAAGAUAAAGCUGUGAUGGAAGACAUUUGAUAAAGCUACAACAAGACAAAAUUAGAUAAAGAUGCUUGGCAAGAUAAGGGACGUGAUAAAGCUACAAGAUAAGAUAAAGCUGUGAUGGAAGACAUUUGAUAAAGCUACAACAAGACAAAAUUAGAUAAAGAUGCUUGGCAAGAUAAGGGACGUGAUAAAGCUACAAGAUAAGAUAAAGCUGUGAUGGAAGACAUUUGAUAAAGCUACAACAAGACAAAAUUAGAUAAAGAUGCUUGGCAAGAUAAGGGACGUGAUAAAGCUACAAGAUAAGAUAAAGCUGUGAUGGAAGACAUUUGAUAAAGCUACAACAAGACAAAAUUAGAUAAAGAUGCUUGGCAAGAUAAGGGACGUGAUAAAGCUACAAGAUAAGAUAAAGCUGUGAUGGAAGACAUUUGAUAAAGCUACAACAAGACAAAAUUAGAUAAAGAUGCUUGGCAAGAUAAGGGACGUGAUAAAGCUACAAGAUAAGAUAAAGCUGUGAUGGAAGACAUUUGAUAAAGCUACAACAAGACAAAAUUAGAUAAAGAUGCUUGGCAAGAUAAGGGACGUGAUAAAGCUACAAGAUAAGAUAAAGCUGUGAUGGAAGACAUUUGAUAAAGCUACAACAAGACAAAAUUAGAUAAAGAUGCUUGGCAAGAUAAGGGACGUGAUAAAGCUACAAGAUAAGAUAAAGCUGUGAUGGAAGACAUUUGAUAAAGCUACAACAAGACAAAAUUAGAUAAAGAUGCUUGGCAAGAUAAGGGACGUGAUAAAGCUACAAGAUAAGAUAAAGCUGUGAUGGAAGACAUUUGAUAAAGCUACAACAAGACAAAAUUAGAUAAAGAUGCUUGGCAAGAUAAGGGACGUGAUAAAGCUACAAGAUAAGAUAAAGCUGUGAUGGAAGACAUUUGAUAAAGCUACAACAAGACAAAAUUAGAUAAAGAUGCUUGGCAAGAUAAGGGACGUGAUAAAGCUACAAGAUAAGAUAAAGCUGUGAUGGAAGACAUUUGAUAAAGCUACAACAAGACAAAAUUAGAUAAAGAUGCUUGGCAAGAUAAGGGACGUGAUAAAGCUACAAGAUAAGAUAAAGCUGUGAUGGAAGACAUUUGAUAAAGCUACAACAAGACAAAAUUAGAUAAAGAUGCUUGGCAAGAUAAGGGACGUGAUAAAGCUACAAGAUAAGAUAAAGCUGUGAUGGAAGACAUUUGAUAAAGCUACAACAAGACAAAAUUAGAUAAAGAUGCUUGGCAAGAUAAGGGACGUGAUAAAGCUACAAGAUAAGAUAAAGCUGUGAUGGAAGACAUUUGAUAAAGCUACAACAAGACAAAAUUAGAUAAAGAUGCUUGGCAAGAUAAGGGACGUGAUAAAGCUACAAGAUAAGAUAAAGCUGUGAUGGAAGACAUUUGAUAAAGCUACAACAAGACAAAAUUAGAUAAAGAUGCUUGGCAAGAUAAGGGACGUGAUAAAGCUACAAGAUAAGAUAAAGCUGUGAUGGAAGACAUUUGAUAAAGCUACAACAAGACAAAAUUAGAUAAAGAUGCUUGGCAAGAUAAGGGACGUGAUAAAGCUACAAGAUAAGAUAAAGCUGUGAUGGAAGACAUUUGAUAAAGCUACAACAAGACAAAAUUAGAUAAAGAUGCUUGGCAAGAUAAGGGACGUGAUAAAGCUACAAGAUAAGAUAAAGCUGUGAUGGAAGACAUUUGAUAAAGCUACAACAAGACAAAAUUAGAUAAAGAUGCUUGGCAAGAUAAGGGACGUGAUAAAGCUACAAGAUAAGAUAAAGCUGUGAUGGAAGACAUUUGAUAAAGCUACAACAAGACAAAAUUAGAUAAAGAUGCUUGGCAAGAUAAGGGACGUGAUAAAGCUACAAGAUAAGAUAAAGCUGUGAUGGAAGACAUUUGAUAAAGCUACAACAAGACAAAAUUAGAUAAAGAUGCUUGGCAAGAUAAGGGACGUGAUAAAGCUACAAGAUAAGAUAAAGCUGUGAUGGAAGACAUUUGAUAAAGCUACAACAAGACAAAAUUAGAUAAAGAUGCUUGGCAAGAUAAGGGACGUGAUAAAGCUACAAGAUAAGAUAAAGCUGUGAUGGAAGACAUUUGAUAAAGCUACAACAAGACAAAAUUAGAUAAAGAUGCUUGGCAAGAUAAGGGACGUGAUAAAGCUACAAGAUAAGAUAAAGCUGUGAUGGAAGACAUUUGAUAAAGCUACAACAAGACAAAAUUAGAUAAAGAUGCUUGGCAAGAUAAGGGACGUGAUAAAGCUACAAGAUAAGAUAAAGCUGUGAUGGAAGACAUUUGAUAAAGCUACAACAAGACAAAAUUAGAUAAAGAUGCUUGGCAAGAUAAGGGACGUGAUAAAGCUACAAGAUAAGAUAAAGCUGUGAUGGAAGACAUUUGAUAAAGCUACAACAAGACAAAAUUAGAUAAAGAUGCUUGGCAAGAUAAGGGACGUGAUAAAGCUACAAGAUAAGAUAAAGCUGUGAUGGAAGACAUUUGAUAAAGCUACAACAAGACAAAAUUAGAUAAAGAUGCUUGGCAAGAUAAGGGACGUGAUAAAGCUACAAGAUAAGAUAAAGCUGUGAUGGAAGACAUUUGAUAAAGCUACAACAAGACAAAAUUAGAUAAAGAUGCUUGGCAAGAUAAGGGACGUGAUAAAGCUACAAGAUAAGAUAAAGCUGUGAUGGAAGACAUUUGAUAAAGCUACAACAAGACAAAAUUAGAUAAAGAUGCUUGGCAAGAUAAGGGACGUGAUAAAGCUACAAGAUAAGAUAAAGCUGUGAUGGAAGACAUUUGAUAAAGCUACAACAAGACAAAAUUAGAUAAAGAUGCUUGGCAAGAUAAGGGACGUGAUAAAGCUACAAGAUAAGAUAAAGCUGUGAUGGAAGACAUUUGAUAAAGCUACAACAAGACAAAAUUAGAUAAAGAUGCUUGGCAAGAUAAGGGACGUGAUAAAGCUACAAGAUAAGAUAAAGCUGUGAUGGAAGACAUUUGAUAAAGCUACAACAAGACAAAAUUAGAUAAAGAUGCUUGGCAAGAUAAGGGACGUGAUAAAGCUACAAGAUAAGAUAAAGCUGUGAUGGAAGACAUUUGAUAAAGCUACAACAAGACAAAAUUAGAUAAAGAUGCUUGGCAAGAUAAGGGACGUGAUAAAGCUACAAGAUAAGAUAAAGCUGUGAUGGAAGACAUUUGAUAAAGCUACAACAAGACAAAAUUAGAUAAAGAUGCUUGGCAAGAUAAGGGACGUGAUAAAGCUACAAGAUAAGAUAAAGCUGUGAUGGAAGACAUUUGAUAAAGCUACAACAAGACAAAAUUAGAUAAAGAUGCUUGGCAAGAUAAGGGACGUGAUAAAGCUACAAGAUAAGAUAAAGCUGUGAUGGAAGACAUUUGAUAAAGCUACAACAAGACAAAAUUAGAUAAAGAUGCUUGGCAAGAUAAGGGACGUGAUAAAGCUACAAGAUAAGAUAAAGCUGUGAUGGAAGACAUUUGAUAAAGCUACAACAAGACAAAAUUAGAUAAAGAUGCUUGGCAAGAUAAGGGACGUGAUAAAGCUACAAGAUAAGAUAAAGCUGUGAUGGAAGACAUUUGAUAAAGCUACAACAAGACAAAAUUAGAUAAAGAUGCUUGGCAAGAUAAGGGACGUGAUAAAGCUACAAGAUAAGAUAAAGCUGUGAUGGAAGACAUUUGAUAAAGCUACAACAAGACAAAAUUAGAUAAAGAUGCUUGGCAAGAUAAGGGACGUGAUAAAGCUACAACAAGAUGCUUGAUAGAUGUAAAGAAGUGAUGUAAAAGCCCAAUAAUACAAGGGCAAAAAUGUAACAAUAAUGUAAAAGCCCAAUAAUAGAAGGGCAAAAAUGUAAUCAUAAAUUCAAAGUAACUUCGAAUAUAAAUAAAAGCAAUAAGCUCUAAGAGCUUAUCAUUCACCAUAAUUCAGUGUCUUUCCUUAGCAUAUGAAUCCUCUGAAAAAUAAAAAACUAAACAACUCUACAGCUCUAAUUCCUAAAUCAAGGCAUCACUGAUCAAAAACAAAUAACCCUAUAGAGAGGAAAGAGAAACUUAAACUUAUUCAACAUUUCUAAGCCUAUCGAUCAAAAUCCAUACAGUAAGGCCGAUCGAGUCCACUGAUCCCGUUGAAGCAAGAAGGCCGUUGAGGGAAUAAGGACAACCAGGCUGCAGGUCACUGGAAAAGGAUUGGAAGGCAAGGAAAUAAGGAUAAGCUAGGUAAUAAUUCUCAAACCUUAUCUUUGGUGGAAGUUUGUUGAUAAUCAAUGAUGAGGAGAUUUAUGGAGGAAGAGCAUAAAAUGAAACAAAUUUUUGGUUGUUCUUUUCUGUAAAAUGAAUCAUAGAUUUUAUUUAGGCGAGUCUAAAGAAUGUAUGUUAGAUCCUAAUACUAGAAUAACAUAUAACAAUUUUAUGAUGAUAAUAGACUUUAAUUUAGGAUCAUAUAAACAAGAUUCAUAUUUGUUAAGUAAAAGAGAUCUUGUUAGAACCGUAGAUCUGUUAGCGGUAUUUUCAUUAGAACUCCCAUAGGAAAUAAAGCGGAAAAUAAUAAACUAUAUCGAAUCAAAAAAUCUAAAGCAUAACAUAAUUAUGAUGACAAUAGAACAAGGAAUUGAUAUAGCUCUGGCUUAUAUAGAAAAUGAAAAUAGAGAGGCUGGACCAUCAUAUGUAAAUUACAUAGAAAAUUCAGAUAAUGAAGAAAUUGAAUUAUAAGUUGAAAAAAGUAUAUAGGCUGGAAACCAAGGUGUGCGGGCUACUGGUCCAAAGGAGAAUUAAAUAUCUUGGCUGAAUUGCCAAGGAUCUCUUCAUCUUGUCAACGCCACGUACUUUUUAAUUACAAGUGAUAUGUUUAAUCAACUAUAUAUAUAUAUGUCCGUUAUUUUAAUCUUAGAAUAAGAAAAAUAGAAGUUGUUUAACCAUUCAGAAUAUUUGAUUAUUUUAUUUGUUUAAUUUGUUUAAUUAUUUGUAAUAUUUGUUUUUUUUUUUGGUACACACGUACAAGAUGGUAUCAGAGCCAUAACCAGAAUCAUAACUCUUACUAAUUAAAAUCUUGAUGAUAUUUUACUUCUUAUAAAACUAAUUAAUGGAUCCGAUACAAACAUUAGUUAACAACUUAUAUACUUUAAAAGUAUAUGAUAAAGAAGAAAUAAAAAAUCUCAUAAUGGCUUUAAAAAUUGAUAAGAAUAAUAUAAGAAACAUAGAACUCGAAUUAACAGAAGAACUUAGAGAAAGGCAUAUAGACACAAUAAGAGGAGAAAUAUUAAUAGAAAAGAAAAUGAAGUUUAUAGAUGAAAUUAUAAAAUUUCUAAUAUAUUGGUAUAAGAGGGAAGCAUUAUGAAUCAUAAUCAACAUGCAUUUAAUAUAAUACAUGAAUUAGCAGAUUGUAUAGAUCACAUGAUUUUAGGAUGGGAAAACAUAUUAAAUAUAUACAUAAAUCUAAUAAGUCAGAAAAUAGAAUUACUAGAACAAGAAAGAAUAGGAAUAAUAAAUUUAGGACCAGAAAUCUACUCUGAAAUUAUAGAUUUAUAUGAAUUUGAUAACCAUGUAAUGUUAUUUAAAGAAAUAAACAAAACCUUAGAAAGAAUGAGAAAUAGGUGUAGAAGGGAUGGAAGAAGUCAAAUACAUCCACAAUUAUAAAAGUUAAAAGUUAAAAGGACCCAAAAGAAAUUAACCAAAGAAGAAAAAGACAAAAAACGUAAGAUACAUUGGUCGUAACUUAGGUACUCCCUUAAAAUAAAAUUAAAAGUUAUCAAUAUUUUAAUAUUAAAUUAAAAUUACACAAAUAUCAAAAUAAUGAGACACGUGGUAAAAGAAGAAGCUAGCGACUGUCUCUAGCACUCCUCUAUAAUAUAUAGACGUUAAUUUUUAUAUUAAUCAUUUCUUCUGAUGAAAGCUAGGUUUAUGUUUCUGUGGCAACGUUUCAAGCCCAUUUAGAUCUUAAUGGGCCAACGUAGUCUAGACCUCAUAAUGAAUAAUGAAAUACAAGUUCUAGAACUAGAAGCAUAACAUUAUCCACGUGUGUGGUGAAUUUAAAAAUUUGGAGUAACAUGAUUGCACCUCAAAAAUCGUCUCUCCAUUUUUUUUUUUAAGACGUUAUUUAUGUGCGCGAAAAAUAUUCGUCGUGGGAGCCAUAAAGCAGGGUGUUAAAGAUUAUUAUAACCAUGCCAUAUGAAUGAAUUUGAAAUAUAAUACAAAUUAUCAAUAAGUUGUAAUUAUACAAUCUGAACAAAAAAUAUAUAUAUAUAUAUAUCAUUGAAUGGUAAAAUGCAAUAAGUUAUUGGAGGAAUCAAUAAAUUAUAUCAAAAUGUAUUGUAUUGACACAGUAAUAUGUUAGAUCCAUUUCCUCGAAUUGAAGCUAACACCUGCGAUCGAACUAGAGAUUGAGGAAGCAAUGGCUAUGAUACCAAAUGAGAAAUUAAAAGAUUCAAGGAGUUGAGCUUUUUGACCAAACUUUUAAGAUUACCGAAAAUUCGGUAAACUCAAUCAAACCCCAUUUUUUGAAACAAAAAAUUAUUCUUUGUAGUUUUUUUAAAGUUUAUUGUAAAAAAAAAAAUCUAAUGAAGAUAAUUUUUAUAAGUGAAAUAUAAUUUUUUUUCAAUUUUUACUCGUAUGUUUGUUUAAACGUCAACUAUAUGAAUAGUUAAUAGAUUUUAUUUUUAGAGAUUAUAAUUUAAAAACUUAAUAAUAAAUUAAUCAUGAAUGAUGUAUCGAGAAAUCUAAAAUAAUCUAUUAAUGCAUUUAGAACAAAAUUAUGAAUGAAUUGACAUAUGUGAACGAAUCUAUGGCUCUAAUUUCUAAUGCAAAUAUAAUAUUGCAGUAUAUUAGUAUAACUUAUUUUGUCUAUAUUUGAAUAGAGAAAAUUGUUAACAUAUAUGUUUCCAUAAUAUUGAUUUUGAUGAUAACAAACAAGAAGGGGGAGCAAUUUGUGGAAUCAUUCUUUAAAUACAUGAAAUGUUUGUCAUCAUCAAAAAGGGGGAGAUUGUUAACAUAUAUGUUUCUAUAAUGUUGAUUUUGAUGAUAACAAACAAGAUUAAAGGACUUAUUUUGAAAAGUGUCAUAGCAUUUUUGGUUAUACCAUAAUUUCAGAAAGUUUUGGGAUUAACAAAACAUUAUUUAGAAAUUAUGAAAUUGGACCUAUUUGUAAAAUUUUAUAACAUUUUGGGUCGUAAUAUAGUUUUAUAAAGUUUUGGGGUCAAACGAUAAAUUUAAAAAAUAUUUCACUGUAGCAGUUACUGUAGAAAACGGUGAUCCGACAUCUUGAUAACGGCUCGCCGACAUCUAACAGAAUUGAAGAUUAGCCUCUGGACCUAAACGGCGAUCCGACAAUUGUAAUAAACGGCUCGCCGAUAUCUAACAGAACUGAAGAUUAGCCUCUGGACCUAAACGGUGAUCCGACAAUUUGAAAAAUCAGCCCAACAGUCAUAUUGACCAGUCAAAAUGGCGAUCCGACAUCUAGUUAACGGCGAUCCGACAGUGUGCAGAAAGUCAAUAAUGACUAGUUUUCAACUCCAACUAUAAAUAAGCUCAAUCCAAUUCAAACAAAGAGAGAUCCAAGAGUUAUCAUUGAGCAUAAAAUUAUUAUUGAGCUUUGAACUUGUUUUUAUUUCUUUGAUUCACAUAUUGAGAAUUCAUUUGCAAUCAAACACAUCGUGUGAGAGAAAAUUCAUUUGUAAUAUUUAUCCUUGAGAGGUUGUAAGCGUUGGGAUACACUUGGGUUAAGAGAUUGACGAUAAUCUCUUGUUGUAAAAGUCCAUUGACACCUUGGAAGUCAAUUGUAAGCGUUUGAAGCCUUGAGAGGCUAGCUUAGUGAAAUCCUUAAGCCUGAUGAGCUUGGAGGUGUGGACGUAGGCGGAGAUUACCGAACCACGUAAAAAUUAUUGUGUUUGUUUUCUCUUCCCUUACUCAUUUAUUAUUGUGCUUUCAUGGAAUUUAUUAUUUUCGAAUUUAUUAAGGCAUUAGAUUGGAUUGUUGUAUGAUUUUCUUAGCUUAAAUUUUAAUAUCCCAAUUCACCACCCUUCUCGGGUUGCCUAGUUAGUAUUUAAAAAAUAAAAGGAGUUGUGAUUUGUUAGAAUACUAUCACAUAAAAGUAAUUUUUUUUUUUUGGUGCUCUCUGCCUUAUUUAAUAAGUAAAAUAUCUCAAUCUAAUCUUUUUUAACUAGUGAAAUUCUUUUUACCCAAUAAAUUUUAUUAUUUUACUUAAUUUUAAUUAAUUAUUAUGAACCGAUGGAUUUCAUCUAAUCGUUCAUCUCACUAUUGAUACUGAGAUAUCAUCAAGCAACAUCAGUGCAUCACAUUGAAAUGUCUUGCUGUCUUGUUUCUUAACAAGAAAUGACAAUUGAUUUAAAUAAAUCACAUUGCUGCAGAGCCGAUGCUCAUUUGUGAGAAAUAGCCUGGGCCAUUGGAUUUGGGCGUUUGGGCCAUUGCAUGUCCAUCUGAUUGAAGACCCCAUAUCUAACAAGCAAAAAAUUGUAGACGUUUCUUAUCGAGUGUUCUUGUCUGCAACCCCAGUACCAAUUAUGAAAUAUGUGGAGCAUCUUGUUCUGAAAACGAAAAGAAUAAAUAAUUUCAGUAGAAACACCAAACCCCAUCAAAGUUUUAGCAAUUAUUUGAAAGUAGGGUUCUCUUAAGUUGUAUUUAUUUUACUUUAUAAUUAAGUAAAACAAUACAAAAUUAACACAGUAAGGAGGUCAAGUGGAUCAAUAAGUGAUUUUUUUUAUAGCUGUAAGUUACACUAAAUGUAGUGAGCUUAUCCGUUUAUAUACCAUUUAUUCCCUUAUUGUUUUCAUAAUAGCUAAUAAUGCCCCUUACAUGCAGUAUAAUUUUAUGGUAAAUCAUAAAAAUAUACUUUUAUUCACAUUUAUUAUAAAUUAAAUGAAUCAUAUAAAUAGAAAUUAAAAAAAUAUAUAAGUAAUAAAAAUAAGAAAUACAUGUUUCAGUGUGAAUAAAAAUUAAUGACAAGAUAUUUUUUUUUUGUACUUUUUGUUAUUCAAGCCACACACAUAUUUUUAUAACGAAUAUAUAUUUUACAUUCCUAAAAAAAAAUAAAGCAAAUAGCCUAUCUAUCCCUUUUUUUCCUUAAGUAUUUUUGGUGCUAAAAGCUUUUGAAUAUUAUGAAAACAAUAAGGGGUAAGUGGUUUAUGUUGAUUUCAGAAAAAGAGAAACUGGCAGUCUCCCGUAAAUAUAAAUCAGGAAUACCUUUAAAAAUAGAAUUUUCGAACAAAACAAGCCACAAUCACAAAUAAAUAAAGGGUUUGUCGGUGAUGUUUAUUUUCCUACAGUAUCAAAAAUGUAACAAAUGUAAACCUUUCGAUUUUGAUCAACAAUGUAAAAUAUUUGUAUGAAUAAAAAAUAUAAAUUCUUUAAUAAUAUUGUAUAGUUAACAAACUAGUUAAAAAGAUUAUUUAUAACUUAACCAAAAAAAAAAGUUAUAAUAGAUCACAACCUCUCUCUUUUCACAUUAAAUUCGUAAGUAUUUCUAUUUAAUUUGAAUUCAUCUACUUAAUUUUAAAGAUUACCUAUUACUUGUUAAUUAACUAAUUAUUGUUCCACUUAAUUAAACUAAUAAUAGAGAUUAAAAUAUUUAAAUUAAAAAUCUAGAACACUACAAUUAUUAAUGCUAUAAAAAAUCAUACAACAUCGUAAAAAAAUCUUAAAAUGUAUAUAUAAAAGUUGUAAAGAGUCAACAUUACAAAAAUUAAUAAAGUUCCUGAGCCGACCAACGGAUAUCAUCACCGACUAAAGAUCUCCCCAUGCAAUCACCAAUUUUUUUUUCUUUUUUUUUAACCAAAUCAGGAAGCCCAUGCAAAUUUGACAUUAAACCUACACACUGCAUAAUUGUCUUUUUAAACAUAACAAUUGGCUCCAGUAAUUUAAAGAAUAUCUCCAAGAAUUUCAAAUUUGAACUUUGUCUAAACGAUUUCAUUUAGUUAAUUACGCACGCAAUGAUUUGAAUAGUUGAAGAAACAUAAAUGUGUAGGUCCAAUUAAUAUUAUAAAGUUGUUAGGUUUCCAAGUCAAGUCACAGCUAGGCGGCAGGUAAUAUACACAUAUAUAAUAAUAGUAUUAUUAUUAAACAGGCACAAGUAUUUAUAUAUAGGAAAUGGAUGACAACUUUGGAUAAUGUGGACUCAAGCAGCCGACGUAUUUGUUGUAUCCAGGACGGGAAGCAACAUGGGAUCUUUAUUGAAACUCAAUGAUAGCAUAGCACUCCUUCAACAGAAGAAACAAAGAUCACACGUUCCUCAAGACCCUACUCUAUCCAUGCAAGUUGUUAUGUAUAAAUUUGAGGUCGUGCUCGUGGGAUGAAACAUUUCACUACCAAACAUAUUGACGGUUUCAUGAACCGACGUCCUCGACUUUCUCCUUUUAAGCUACAUAAUGAAGCUUAAAUUAUCAUUUAGUGCGUGAAUUGACCUACAUGCAGUAAACUGGACUCUGGCGCUGCCCUAGCAACAGCAUUGGCCCAUCGGCUUGGCUUUUUGAAUUUUGACUUGGGUCUAGGCUUUGGUUGGCGAGCAGUUGGCCGCUUACUGGCUACCAUUUACCACCGACAAUAACUCUACCAACCCUCGUCCUAAGACAAUUGUAUAAUGGGUAAAUUUCAAAGCAUUAUCUCCUCUGAACUGACUAUCUAUAGAGGACCUGUCUACCUUACAGAUUCUGUAAGUAACAGACCUGUAAUCUCAAUCGUUGAAUGUGGAUAGAGAAAGAUGGAGGGUUGGCAACGGUUAAAAAAAUAAGGGGAAAAAAAACCCAAAGCAUGGGGAAACCGGCUUUAAUGGUUAACGUGCAACAUGUGAGAAGUAACAAAAAGAUACAUGGCUGGUGAAAUUUACAGAAUUAAUUGUAUUUUAAUUAGGUUGGUGUCGGUAAAAAAAGACAGUUUAGGUCAUACUACCUCCGAGGCAACUGCGCGCGAUUGCUUAAACUGGACCACACACCGUGGAUCCAAAGUGAGAAAAUAUUUUGGAGGGGUUUUUUCACACCAUACUAUUGCACGAGAUGCAACGUCGCCUUACUUGCUAUUUGCAUGAGUCUAAAUAAUAAUUCGAUACGCUGAAAGCCUAUAACCACCAACAUUUUUCCACUAUCAAACUACAAAUAUUUAGACUUUCAAUACACGGCCCAUCAGUCUAAUUUUUUUGACCAAUUUCAGUGAUGGGUUACCGGUCAGCAAUCGGGAAUGCAUUCAUUUUGUCACAGGAAUAAAACCAGAAUGGCUGGUUCCAUAUAUAAUCUCCCAUUCCAUCCGCCGUCCACGUGCCACGCAUCCAUAUAUCCUCUUGUCAACUCACAGGCACUUACAGAAUCUGUAAGGUAGAUUGGUCUUAUAGAUUGCCCUCCUUAUGUUUAAAAACUUAAAGUUAUUCUUAUAUUUAAUUAUAAGAUAAGGAAAAAUUGAAAGUGGAUUGAUGAAUUUUUUUGGGAAAAUUUAUCCAUUUGACCACCUUCCAACUUUUAAUAUAAAAACAAAACCACACUCCAUAUUUUCUUACAAUAACAAUUAACAACCAUUUACAAGGUUCUUAGAUCAAAAUAUUCCCUAAAUUUUUAAAACUAUACAAAUAAAAUAUUUCGCCCAACACCGCCUAAAAACAUGUCCCAUCACCCCAACUAUGCAUGUGGGAGUUCCUUUACUUCCGGUGUUUCUUGAAUUCUAGUAAUUUCCUUCACUUCCGGCUGCGAUUUGUGUGAGUUAUAGUUUGAUUUCAACAAGUUCCUUCACUUUCGGUUUCAGUGGUUUAGGUACUUUCUUUUAUUUAUUAAUAAUUUAGAUUAAAUUUUGUUUAAAUUGCUUGGUUGAUUGAUCAUUGAUCAUAGUUAAUCAUUAAGAUAUGUAUUGGAUAUGAAAAUAUUAGAGUUUUCUUAAGAUUAAUAUAUCUAAAGGGGGAUUGCCACUUUCCCCCCUACAGUAAUCAACAUAUACCAUUUACCUCACUGCUGUUUUUAUAAUGGCCAAAAACCCCCAUGACAGCAUAAUUUACAAUAUUACUCUUAUUUUCAACUACUAUUUUAUUUACAUUUAUUAUAAAUUAAAUAAAUCACAUGAAUAGAAACUAAAUAAAAAAAUUAAGUAUUAAAAAAAGAAAUAUAUGUUUUGAUAUGAGUAAAAAAAUUAAUAAUAAAUUUUUUUUCUUGUAAUUAUUUAUUUUGUGAACAUUUUCUUAUAAUAAACAUUUUGUAAUAUUUUACAAUUAAAUGUAAAAAGUAUAGGCAAAAUAUUUUAUUAUUUAUCUUAUAAUAAAUUUUUAUUUGUCAUUCAAGUUUUCUUAUAAUAAUUUUUUUUAUCAUUUUAUAAUAAUUCUAUUAUAUAUUUACUAUAAGAAAAUUUUCACAAAAUAAAUAAGUACAAGAAAAAAAAAUUAUUGUUAAUUUUUUUGCUCAUAUCAAAACAUAUAUUUCUUGUUUUUAAUCUUUAAUUUUUUAUUUAGUUUCUAUUCAUGUGAUUUAUUUAAUUUAUAAUAAAUAUAAAUAAAAGAGUAGUUGAAAAUAAGGGUAAUAUUGUAAACUUAUGCUAUCGGGGGGUUUUUGGUCAUUAUAAAAACAACAAGGGGGGAAAUGAUAUAUGUUGAUUAAUGUAGGGGGGAAAUUGGCAAUCUCCCUAUCUAAUAAAUGGCACACCAAGCGUUUGUUUAAAUGCCUCUAAGGAAUUAUUGAUCUAAAUUUAAAGUUAUUUUGAGGUUAAAAAGAAUGUUGGUGUGCCGGCCAAUCAAGAACAUGGAUGGUUGCCUGUGUUACCUAAAGUUUUGGACAUGCCAAGCUUGGACAACACAUGUUGCUUCCCCCCGUUGCCCAACCAAAUGGCCAUGCAUGGCAUGAGAGGCUUGGCAAUGCGGGCGACACGCUUGCGUCACCCAGCCAAGUAUAUGAUGUUGCCCAAAUUUGGUUGGGCAAUACAUGUUGUCGCCCAUAUACUUGCAUUGCCAGCAUUCUGGGCGACAACAACUACCCAAGUUUUUCGAAUGUUUUAAGUUUUGUUUUUUUUAAACAUUUAUACUAAUGUUGUCCUAAUUUAUUGUUUAGAUAUGUCCGACAAGCAGAUGCAUCCCUGGUCACUGAAGAUACCGAUCGAGGAUCACUUUCUAGGAUGUGUUAUGAAUUUAACCAGAUUUAAUUUUGUGACCACACAUUUACAGACCAAGUUAACUGACAUUCAAUUUGGGCUAUUCAAAAAGUCAAUUUUGGUCAUUUUCUAGCCAUGGGGGAUCCUGAAUUUAGCAGCAAUCUUGUACAUUUUUUGUUGCUCAGACUAGUCCUGAAAACAAGUUAAUGAUGAGUAUAAAAUGUGGUUUAAGAUUGGCAACGAUAUGUUACGUUUCUUUAUUUGAGAAUGGUUCUUAGUGACAGGAUUGAAAUGUUGUAAUGUGGAAAAUUUGCACAAAAAAAACUUUGGUUGGCGAAUACGUCAUCAAUAUUUCGGUGGAAUAAGGUACUUUAAGCUUAACAAAUAAGAUAAUAGGUUUGAUGAUUUUGAUUUCACUAACAUGGAUGACACAGAUGUGUUGAGGAUUGCCUUAUCAUGUUUCGCAGAUAGGGUUUUGUGUGUAAGACCGUUUGAAAGGAGAAUAACAAAAGAGAUAAUGCAUGCUGUGAAUGAUUUAGAUUAUUUCAACAACUUUUAUUGGGGCACCUAUUCAAGGAAAAUUCUCUACAAGCAAAUGACAAAGCUUGAUUGGUAAAGUUAAAAAAUAUAAGAAAGAGCACAACAAGGAUCACAUUAAAGAGAAGUACAUGUCUUAUCUAAUGUUAGGCCGUACACUUAACUUUAGCUAUUGUGGAGAUUUGGUUAGGAAGAAGUUUGCUAUAGAUAUAAUUAUGAAUGAGAUUCUGUAAAAAGACAUACAAUAAAGUAGUAUUAUUUCAUAUUCCUAUUAUCAAUUGACAUAUUCAGCGGCCACCAAAAUCAAGCAAUACACACCUCUCUAGAAAAUUGGGCAAUAGGUUGUGUUGCCCGGGCAAUGUGCCUGUCGUACGCAUAAAAUAGGUGUGCAAUAGGGAUGUCACUCGGGCAACACAACACGUUGCUUGAUUUUCCUGAGAGUUGUAUAUCGCUUGACAAAAUCAAGCAAUGGACAACUUUAUGGAAAAUCGAGUGACAGACAAUGUUGCCUGGGUGACGCACAUCUAUUUGGAAACAAAAUACAGUAACUUUUCCAUUCUCAUAUUCCAUACAACCAUCCUUCAAAGUCUUUCACGUCCCAUCAAAAUAUAUCUUAAGCACUAUCGACUCUAUUAACCUGAUGUAAACUAAUAAUAAUGUUUUAUUAAUAAUACUCCAAACAAUAAUAUUCGUAUAUUAAUUAAAUAACUAAUCAUGAACAAAUUUGGGUGAUUCGGGUAGUAGCACUAUCGCCUAGGUGACAUAAAACGUUACCCGAAUUACAUGCAAUUGUAUGUUGGGCGAUGUGAGCACUAAUCACCUAACAUGCAGCAUCCUAUUGUCCGGGCAACGAAUACUAGAAUCCAAGCGACUAGUGCUUGUCACCCAGGCAAUAGAUACCAAAAUCCAGGUGACAAGUACCUGUCGCCUGGGCGACAAGUCGUUCUAAGCUUGGGCGACGUGUACUUGUUGCUUGGAUUUUGGGUUUCAUCUUCAACAUUGUUCAAGACCCAUUUUCGUUAGAUUUUACCAGAAUUUUACUAACUUAUAAAUUUAUAACCUCAUGAUUAAUAGUAAAAAGUGUACAUGUAAUAAUGAUAAAAUUAUUAGUUUUUCACUUGAAGUGUUGAUUAAUGCACUUAUAACUUAUAUGAAUACUCCCCUAAUAAAUUUUUAUGUUAAAUUAAUUCGUAAUAUGUUAAUUUUUAUCUUGUAAAUAUUUUUCAGGAAUAAAGACGAAAUUGGAUUUGAAAGCGAGAACAAAGAAGAACCACUGGAGCAAUUUUGAAUAUAUCAUUGAGGAGAUGUAAUAAAUUAAUAAAUAAAUAAAUAAAUAAAAAGAAUAGGUGGGCAAUCACGUUGGUGAUGGUCAGGAGGCCAUUAUGCCUCCUGACCAUCACACAUCUCAACAUACACACACAUAUAUAUAUAUUAUAAAAUAAAAUAAAUAAAGAAUGAUGCAUUGCUUGCCUAUAAAAGGAAAAGAGAUGCAGGGAGCUGAGUAGCAAGUCGAGAGAGAGAGUUGUAGCUAAGAGGGAACUGAGUGAGGAGUUGAAUAAUUUCUUUCUUUCUUUCUUUUCUUUUCUUGUUUUCUUCUGUAUCAAUUUUCCUUGUAACAUAUUUCAAAAGUUUAUCAAAUAAAAAGAGUGUUGUGUUUUCUUUCAAUAUGAGUGGCUAAUUUUACUAAGCUGAGGUAAAGGGUAAAGCUCGAGGUUUCAAACUAUCAAAUUUAUUACUUUAUCAAGUGAGUUUUUAAAUUUAUUUUAUUCUUUUCUGGUUAUUUUUAUGUCAUAUUAAUUUAUAGAUUCUCUUGGAUCUGUAUGGUAUUUUGACAUAAUGUCGACACAUUAAUACAGUUGUGGCACAUUAGAUACUUUAUUCCAUAUUUAUCCACACACAUAGUUAGUUAAGAAUUAAAUGAUAUAAUAAUUAAUUGGUAAAAGUGAGGCAAAAUAUAAAAAUGAGAGAAUAUUAAAAUUAUAGUUUGAAUAUUGAGAGUGGUCCCCAUAACGUUAGCAUAUGUUUAAAUUGAUUCAUAAUAAUUUCUUUUCCCGCAAUUAAUUUUCUUUAUUUUAAAUUAACUAUUAGAUUUUAAAUUUCAUGUGGCUCGAUCCCGGACUCACCGGGUUAUAUUAUAACUUGACACUCUUAUACUUAAGAGUAAUAACACUUUUGAGUUGUGUCACCUCAUGUUAACUAUUUAAUGUACCCACAUUGUAAUAAAAUGAGCAACUGAUCUUUUGUAUGAAACCCAACCAAAUAAUAAAAAAUAAAAAUUGAAGAAAUACUAACCUCAAGUUUUUAUUAUUCUUUAGUUUGUUGCUUGAUUUUAUCUUCAAUGCUUGAAUAAAUAUAUUAGUUUGAUGAAUGUGAGAUAGGUGAAAAGGGGGUUGAGUGAUAGUUGGAUAAAUAACUACGUUAUGAAUGUGAGAGAGGUGAAAUGGAGAGUGUUUUGGUCGUAUGUGGAGAGCUUUGGCUGUUGCUUAGGAGUUGAGGGUUUGUUUGUUUAGUUUUACGGGUAUUUUGGUCUAAGAAUUCUGUAAAUAGUUGUUAUUGUAAGAGAAAAUUAGAGUGUAAUCUUUUUUAUGUUAUUGUAAGAGAAAAUUAGAGUGUAAUCUUUUUUUAUAUUAAAAGUUGUAAGGUGAUCAAAUGAGUAAAUUUUCUAAUUUUGUAUCUUUUUAAUAAAAUUAAGAUAAAUUGAAGUUCUUAAAAAUAAGACAGAUAAAUUUAAAAAUAAUCAAUUUAUGACAAAGGUAACCAAAAUUAAAUCUUAUAUAAUACUUGUAGACUGUACUGCCUUUCUUUUUAUCAUUAAACGGUGACGUUUAAAAUGCAAAGAAGAAAGAACCCACAAUCAGCCCCCGAAUCAUUAGGAAUCCAGGAUCAGUUGCCAUGAUUGGUUGAUUGACUGAUUCUCAACGCACCGGGGUCCACAGCACAGGAAUGACAUAAACUCAUAGGCCCCCAAGCAACCACACUGGUCCGCCAACGCCCAGCCCAAAAUUUGUGGACCAAACUUUAGCUAUUAUUACAUUCAUUACCCCUAACAGUAUCAUUGUUAGGUCUUUUUUUUUUUUUUUUUUUCUAACACAAGCCUAUUAUAAUCAUGGGUGGCUUUAAGUAUAGGCGAAUAAGACGGUUGCCUAAGAUUCUAAAUUUUAGAAAUGUCUAAUUUUUUUAGUAUUAGUAAUAAUUCUCUAAUUAAUAAAGAUUUUUUUUAAAAAAAUUAUAUGUGGUAGAAAAGCUUAAUAGACAUCUCUCUAAUUAAUAAUUAUCAUAUAAUUAAUUAUUAUUAUUAUUUUAAAAAAAAAUUACUUGAAAUACAAAGUUCAUAUCCAUUAUUUAACCAUCAAUUCAUGAUCUCAACUUUUUAUGUGCUACCAUUCUAAAUAUUAUAUUUGAAAAUAAUAUUGUUCUCAUUUAUUCGUUUGUUUAUUUUUGUAUAAUUUCUAAUGGUAAAUUUUAGAUUUUGUUUUUGAAAAUUUUUAAAAUCUUGUUAAUUAUUUGUUGAAAUUCAAGAACUAAAAUUGAAAUAAAUUUUCAACUCUUUUUUAUUUUAUUGAGUAUUGAAGUUAUUAAAUAAAAAAAAGACUCAUUAAAAAAAAAUUCACUCAAGACCUGAUACUCUAAAGCCGGCCGUGAUUAUAACCCAUCCUUCAAUAAAAGACAAAAAUUGGAUCACCAUUCACAUCACACGCACAAUCGGAAAGUAUACCAUUUUAAAGAAGAAUAGAAAUCCAGAGAGAAGCCAGUUGUACAUUUCCAUUUUUAAUUUCGGUGAUGAACACGUGUCGCCAUUAAAAUCGUUCACCUUAUGUGUUAAGUGCCAGCAUUGCCUAGGUUGAAGAGAAUCAAAAGCUACAACAGAAUUUUCUCUGUGCCCGAGGGCCUAAAGCAAAACACAUUCAUUAAAUCUACCUUUAUUACAAAUCGGGUCCCAUCUCAUAAAACUAGUGAACUGAAACUCCUCUGCUCUUUCAACACCACACGUUCAUACAACACAACUGAAAUCUAACCCAUGCUUGUUUGGUUUUCCCCCCACUCUCUAUAAAUAUAACCCAUCAACCCACCCAACACCACCGCCAUAUGUAAGCCUGGGUGCCCAAUUCUCUUCUUCAAACACUCACCAACUAAAACACAAGACACCAACCAACCGAAUACAAAGUAAAGAUUUUUUUUAAAUGGCUAGACUUGUGUUGGUUUCACUAUUCAUUGUGGCUGAGAUUUUAAUGGUACAAGCCGUGGCUGAUAAAUCUGAAGUGAACCCAGUUGGGUUUAAUAAGCCUGAGCCAGCUAGGGUGGCGGAUCAGCCUGCUUCAAGCGUCUCUGAGUCAUCUUAUUAUCAUAAUGAUCCUGAAGCAGCUGAGGCUCCGGAGAUCAGACGGCUGGGAAAGCAUCAUCAGCAUCAUUCUGAUAAGUCAGUGGCUGGCGGUGGUGUCAUCAUUGGUGGCCUUGUUACUGCUAUUUUUGCUGCUGUGUUUUGCUACAUCAGGGUUACAAGGAAAAGGAAUGGCGCUGAUGCUAACUGACCAAUUUUUAGAAUUAUUCACAUUUUUACCUCCCCUUUUUCUCAUUUGCUAAGAGUGGGAGAGCAAAUGAGUGAUUUUGAAACAAAUCUAUAUACAUGAUGGAAUCUGAGGAUAUACACUGUAUUGUUUGAUAUCUUGUGUGAAUAUUAGAUUGAAAUUUCUUUAUUGUUUUAACUCUUCCUUCUUUGCUCUGUUUCAUUUUCUUUCUUCAUUGGGUGAGCUUUCAAGUUAAUGUAAAAAUCUAGUAAGAGAUCGCUCUAAUUAUAUCUUCUGAAUUCUGAUUCUUCAUAAAGUUAAUUUAAGUUAAUUACUUUUCCAUAUUAACCCAAUUUGGCGGAGGGUCGGGGUACUUUUUCAACUCCCAACUAUUAGUUUUUCUUAUCACCAUUUGGUCCAUUUCCAUGGUAAUUUUCCUGUGAUUUUGCUGCUUGAUUUCUUAUGAAGUUUAGGCGUAUUUGGCAUCACUUUUCAGUCGGUCUUCCAAAAACGUGUGAGAACACCCAGAUUCAAGCUGAGCCAUUGGUGGGACUUGAAUGACUAAGAGCCAAAGUAGGUCUCUCAUUUGGCAUUCAUAUUAUGAUUUAUGAGCUAUGCCUGUGAUAUAGAAGUCAAAAAGGGGCAAUCAGGAACCAGCUUCGUAUUUUAAAAUUCCAAUUCUGUAUUAAAAUAUAGAUCCCUUCUGUUCUAGUCUUUAGUCCAGAGAUUCAAUGGUCAUGUGCCUUUUUGCAAAGUCACAGUCAUGAUGACUUCACAGUUCACACUUAAUUCAUAUAAUUCAGCAAUUGUUAUAUGUGUAAUGACAGUUUUUCCACAGUUGAAAAGGUUUUGGGUAUGUAACGUAGCUGGGUAUCUCAAAAUAGUAUCUGUAAUUGACUGGCUUCGACAAUAUUCUACCCAAUGAAACAAAUUUAACAUAUAUUAACACUAACGAGUAAUGAAAUGAGAUUGGGCCUAAUUUGUCAUGCGGGCAAAAGAGCAGGCCCAUAAGUUGAAGCCUAACCUCUACCGAAUUUAUUCUUGCUUGUAAGCAGCGUGGCUUUCAUUUUCUCGAGUCUCAAUGGGUACUUUCCACUUUUCCUUUUCCUGUUCUGUUUCCUCCCAAGAAACAAAUACAAACCACAAAAACAAUUAAAUCUUACGAAUCUUGCUCUGAAACUAAAUUCUCUUCACUGCACCGAAAUGGCUUCUUCUUGUUCAGAAUGUUGGCGGGCAUUAGCCUUCUUCACCAUCUCAGUAGUCUUGGCCUGCAUGGCAAUCUCCAUGUCACUGCAUGCAAUCCCAAAAGACAACGGCAGUCCUUCAACGAAACCCGUCAACUAUCAACUCUUUUCAAACGCUUCUAAAGCCUUAAGAAGAUCAGGCUUCAACAUCAUUGCCACUCUCCUUCAAGUCUCCCCUGAAAUCUUUCUUUCUUCUCAUAACUCAACAAUCUUUGCCAUCCAAGAUUCUGCCAUCUCCAACACUUCUCUCCCUCCUUGGCUCUUUAAAAAGCUUCUUCAAUACCAUACCUCUCCUCUUAAGCUUUCCAUGAAUGAUCUCUUAAUGAAGCCUCAGGGUAGUUGCUUGCCUACCUUUCUUCAUCAAAAGAAAGUCGCCAUAACCAAGAUCGUUGUAAAAGAAAGAUUGAUAGAGAUCAACAAUGUGUUGGUGUCUCGACCUGAUAUAUUUCUUGAAGGAUCCUUGUCAAUUCAUGGGGUUCUUGAGCCAUUUUCAUCUUUGGAUCCUCAAAAUAUUCACCCAGGUUGGGAUUACAUUCAAUCACAAAUAUGUGAUUCCUUUUCGAGUACUCUAGUUUCUGAUAUCACUGAAUCCAAGAACAUGGUCAAUGAGUGGACCAAAAUUAUCCGUUUGCUGAGCUCAAAUGGUUUUGUUUCUUUUGCUAUCGGCUUGCAUUCUGUUAUCGAUCAGAUUCUUGAAGAUAACAUCAACCUGAACUUGACCACAAUCUUUGCCCCAGCAGACUUUGCAGUUGUAGCAUCUUCUUCUCCCUUGCUUGACAGAAUCGUGAGGCUCCAUAUAUUGCCUCAAAGAUUUACGUAUAAAGAACUGGCUUCUUUACCCGGUAAAACAUUACUAAAGACGUUAGUACCCAAUCAAUAUCUCGUGAUCAGUGGAGGUGCUGAUUUUAUCCAAGGAUUUGACAUCAAUGGAGUGCAUAUUUUUGCCCCUGAAAUAUUAUCGUCCAAGCAGUUUGUGAUUCAUGGAAUUUCUCAAGCUUUUCGAGAUAGUAGGACUUCCUGACAACAUCAAAAUUGGCAUGAUUUAACAUUAGCUAUAGAGUAUUGUCCAAUACUGAUGCUUAGCAGUGUUUACAAGUUUUCAGUUUAGCCAGUUAAUUCUUCUGUGCUCCAGGACUAUUUCAGUUGCUAUUAAUUUGUUUUAAUGGUAAAGGCUUUGGCACGUGUAACCCUCAAGUGUAUUAACCAUUCAGCUUUGUUUGUAAUAUAGUGUAUACAAUCCUUUGAAGUUUGAGGUAAUGGUGCAGGAUUUGCCACUCAGUAGCCCAGGCCAGAAUGAUGGAAUGUCAUUACUUAUGGCACAGAAUUGGCACCCGUGGCUCUAUGCUGGAGCUAACUAUGUGUGUGUGAAGUGUGUUUUUAACCUCUAUGACAUUCCUAACUAAGAAUAACUACCACUAUUACUAUUUCUGUGUCCUUCAGGAAAUGCGCCUAGAUGCCCUCAUCAGGUUUAACCCUCCGAAUGCAGAGCCACUGCAGCAUUCACAUUGUCUCUGUUAAAAAAAGAACUGUCAUCUUUGUUGUGCUAUUCCCACAUCUGGAACCAAAAAGAAUGCAUAUAAACGAAAAGAAAAAAUAAAAAGGAAGAAAAUAUCCAUAAGCUCCGAAGAUGAGCAACUGAAAAUAAGUCAUAUAUGGUUUCUAUGUUUCGAAUAUAACACAGAAACUCACGGUACAAGUAUAAAACGUAAUGGUGAACAACAUGGCACGAGCUUCAAGUGGUUAAGUACCAGAAUCACAUCAUUUGCAUGAUCGAUUGAUAGGGAUGAUAAAAUCAUAAAGGAAGACACAUGGCCAAUAAUAUAUAAAAUACAUGCAUUCAAAAUGUAAAUUAUCAAUAGACUUCAAUGCUCAAAUCAAUGAAGAAAUAAGUAUCUACAGGUAAUGGGAAUAAAAAGCAAAACUACCACACUUCAACCGAAUUCAAGGAUUUCUGAAAUGAUAACUGAAGAAAUGGACAAGGUCAUGUGCGACUUUCCUGUGUGGUAGUAAAUGCAUGUACCUCCAGGAUCUUACUUCUUUCAAAACGGAUCCCUUAAUUUUUACAUAUCUCCCCCAGUCAUCUUCAUUAUUUGCACACAACCACAUAAUGCCGAACCUAGAAUAUGAACUGCAAUGUUGCGAGAAAUAAUGUCUUCAAGUAAACAACCUACAAAUCUAAGAAAACAAAGCCAUUCAAAAGGAUGAUGAUCCCAUUAUAACUAGCUCAUGAAUUGAACAUUGCGAAUCCUAAAAUUACAGAUCAUACUAAAUGGCAGUCAGGAAAUUCUGGCCAUUGAAUUGCAAGUCUGGUAAUGACGGAAAAAAUGAAUACUGUCACAUUAUGAUAUCAAAUGCUUGACCAAAGAACAACAGAUAGAAGGUAAAAUAAUUCUACGUAACUGGUGACCACUCCUGACCGGCUUCCAGAAGAAAAGCUGACAGCCAUUGCAGAAUUACUGAAUUUACUUACUUGAUCAUUAGUAACUAAGAACCACUUGCUCCACUCAAGAAAGGAAUUUCAUCCUCGAUGAAGAUGGUCAUCUCACUGCCUCUGUAAAACUUUACUGACAAAAUUCAGCAAACAGCAUAAAAAGGCAGUUGAUGACAGCCCAUGUAACAUAUCACAGCCUAAAAAGUCUUUGGUAAACGCAGAACUAAAUUACCAAAUCACUAAAAUGGUUAGAAUAAAAUACUCCAUGUAUGUGAAUUUAACUGAUUCAAUUACAGUAUUAUGAAUAUGAUAUAAACAUCUGCUGACAUAUAAUGCAGAAAAUUAAGGUUUCACUUCUAUAACUAGAAAGUAACACAGAAAACAGCAAGAAAAGCAAAUUAUACUACUGGACAGAACCUAGAAACCAAUACAAGGCCGUCAAUGCUGGAUUCACAAGGAACAAGGAACUCAAUCUCAAAAUCCAUAAUUCACAGGCAAUUCAUUCCUCAAAUACAUGUCUAAGAAUUCACUUUCCCCGCACCCAAAUUAAUCAAUCAAAUUUACAACAAACAAAAAAUGAAAUCGAACCCAUCAAACAGGCAAUCUAGUUCUUCUCAUUAAAAUCCUUGUCAUAUUAGACCCGUUAACGGUAACAUUAGCAGCAUCAACAAACCUCGAAGUCCUAAACAAUUCCACAAUCUGCUUGAUCUCCCGACCCGCACACUCCUCCAUAAGAACCAUACAAACCCCACCAAUCUUCACCGUCCGCUCCAUCUCUCCGACAAACCUGGAGGGAAACAACGCCUCCGCCAAAUGCGCCGUGAACGCCACGUCAAAAGCCUCGUCGAAAAAGGGUAAGUUGUGCGGGUCCGCCCGGCUAACCAACGGCAAGGAAUCCAUCAGCUCCACUCCUGUGACGUCAGCGACGCCGAUGCUGUUGAACGCCAUGACCUCGUGGCCGGCACCGGCGGAUACGCAGAGGACUUUGGAGUGAUUAAAGAGGAGGCUUUUGCCCUGAAGGUGUUUGAAAAAAUGCGCGUAAGAGGUGACUUGUUGCUUCCAGGAUUUUGAGGACCAGAGGCGGUGGCUUUUCUUCUCGAGUGGGAGGUGUUGGCGGUGCGAUGAGUCGCAGGAGGAUUUGGGGAAUUUUGUCGAUUUAGGUGAGUUUUCUAAAAUGCAGGUUUCUGGGGUUUGUAGCAUCAGCAUUACAAGCGUGAACGUUGCUAUUGUUAUUGCUCCGUACGAUAUCUUUCGAAGCAGAGCCUCUACGUGUCUCUCCAUUCUUUGCGUUUUUGCAGAUCGAACCGAAAAAUCUCCAGCUUUCCUUUUUUCUAUCUUUCCGCUUCAGAGCACACGAUAUCGUUUCGUAUAAAAGAAGUCAUCCGCUUGUAUUAUAAAUUUAUAAUAAUGAUAAUAACAAUAUUGACACCGUUGUUUCCCCUUAUUUUUUUUUUUUCUAAAUUCAUUAUUAUUAUUAUUUUCUUUAUUAUACUAUUAUUGUUGUUGUUUUGAUAUUAUUAAUAAUAUUUUUUUGAACAAUAAUAAUCGCAAUUGUUGAAAUACCUAAUAACAAAAAUGACAAUAAUUAACUUAGGACAUUUUAAUAACUUAAACGAUUAAUAGAAAUAUAAUUAUUCUAACUCUGAUUUAUAUAGUUCAAAUAAAUAAUUCAUUCUGAUUCAUAUAUUUUUUUUAUUUCAGUCCAUUUUUCUUAUUUGUAUUUUUUGUUUUUAUUUCAAUUCAUUCUUUUAAUUUCAGCCCAUUUCAAUUACCAAUUAAUAAAUAGAUUAUGAGAGUUGAAUCCAAUUUAAAUCAACAUACAUAUUUGAAUCCCUGUUCCAUUUGCUAGAAUUGAAAAUCUUAUUUGAUUGAACUAGCAAUAUGCUUCAAGCCCACAUAAAUGAAUAAUACCUUUGUUCCGCAAAAUUUAUAGUAAUUUUUAGUCUAAAUUUAAUAACAUUUAUUGCAU